CAGAAGGACCUAAAUACCAUAAAAGGACGAGUUCCCAUCUCAAUUUGGAAGCAAAGCAGGGUCAGCCCUGGUUAGGACUUGGAUGGGUGACCACCAAUGAAUGCCAGGAUAUAUUUCAGA
rnacentral:rRNA from 11 species